rnacentral:tRNA from 1 species
CCAAAAUUUAAGGCAAUUCACUGUUAAUGAGUUAAUUGAUAUUCUUAUCCUAUUAAA